CCCUUGAAUGGGGCUGCCAUGGAAAAUGGAGUCUGGGUGUGCAGAGUCCUGGGCUUGAGAACAGUGUUCUGAGAGUGAGUCAGUAGCUAAUCUGGGAUAAAACGAGGCUGUCUCCGUGCGCCCCAGACGGGAGGCACAGAGCACAGCCUCUGCAGGAAGAGGCAGGAGGAGGGGGCACAUCGUAGAGCAGACGGCUCUCCGUUCAGAGGAGCAGCCGUGCUCUGUCCUCAGCAGCCACGUGGGGGCCACUUAGUGAAGCUGGACACAGCAGCGGGCAGUGCCAGAGACGCUGGUGGACAGAGCCAGGGGCAACAGGCAGGUCCUCGCUGCAGUGCCCAAUCUGUGGAUCCAGGAGGCAGUGCCACCCGUGUGAUGUUCAUCAAUGUGACACUGAUCAAGCAUCAAUGACGUUCCAGGGACUGUGCCAGAAGGGUGCUCAGGAAAAUGACCAAAGCCCAGCACUGACCCUCAUGGAGCUCAAAGCCAGUGGAAGAAUUGGGCCAAUUCAAUUGGCCUUGCCUUGAGCAAUCAAACCGUCAGCUCCAUGCCCUGCUUCUCUGCGUGACAACUAUGAUAA
rnacentral:lncRNA from 1 species